AUGGUCAUUCGCCGGUUUUCGGCCUUGAACAAUAGGGAGGCUGUCUGCAUUCUUCAAGUAGGCAAUGUUUUUGACAGUUUAUUAAUCAGCUUGUUGAUGCCUGAUUCGGAUGUGAUGCAGGAGUACCACGACAACAUCGGGGACCUGGAUGGGCCGGAAGAGAAGGAGAGGGCGCAAGGGCGGACCAAGGAAAUCAUAGCCGCAUUGUCGUGA
rnacentral:rRNA from 1 species